rnacentral:tRNA from 1 species
GAGAGUAUAGCUCAGUGGCAAAGCAUGUGCUUAGCAUGCACAGGGUCCUAGGUUCAAUCCCCGGUACUGCCC